CCUACGGGAGGCUGCAGUGGGGAAUUUUGGACAAUGGGCGCAAGCCUGAUCCAGCAAUGCCGCGUGUGUGAAGAAGGCCUUCGGGUUGUAAAGCACUUUUGGCGGGAGCGAAACGGCGUUUGCUAAUACCAGACGCUAAUGACGGUACCCGCAGAAUAAGCACCGGCUAACUACGUGCCAGCAGCCGCGGUAAGACGUAGGGUGCGAGCGUUAAUCGGAAUUACUGGGCGUAAAGCGUGCGCAGGCGGCUUUGUAAGACAGGUGUGAAAUCCCCGGGCUUAACCUGGGAACUGCACUUGUGACUGCAAGGCUAGAGUGUGUCAGAGGGAGGUGGAAUUCCGCGUGUAGCAGUGAAAUGCGUAGAUAUGCGGAGGAACACCGAUGGCGAAGGCAGCCUCCUGGGAUAACACUGACGCUCAUGCACGAAAGCGUGGGGAGCAAACAGGAUUAGAUACCCCAGUAGUC
rnacentral:rRNA from 1 species